GUCAAGCGACUAAGCGCAUACGGUGGAUGCCUUGGCAGUCAGAGGCGAUGAAGGACGUUGUAGCCUGCGAAAAGCGUUGGGGAGCUGGCAAACGAGCAUUGAUCCAACGAUGUCCGAAUGGGGAAACCCACCUGGUACAAGCCAGGUAUCUUGCACUGAAUACAUAGGUGUAAGAGGCGAACCCGGGGAACUGAAACAUCUAAGUACCCGGAGGAAAAGAAAUCAACCGAGAUUCCCCUAGUAGCGGCGAGCGAACGGGGAAGAGCCUGCAAGUGAUAGCAGGUGUGUUAGUGGAACGGUCUGGAAAGUCCGGCGAUAGAGGGUGAUAGCCCCGUACACGAAAACGCACCUGUGGUACUGAGCUUGCGACAAGUAGGACGGAACACGUGACAUUUUGUCUGAAGAUGGGGGGACCAUCCUCCAAGGCUAAAUACUCCUGACUGACCGAUAGUGAACCAGUACCGUGAGGGAAAGGCGAAAAGAACCCCGGAGAGGGGAGUGAAAUAGAACCUGAAACCGUAUGCGUACAAGCAGUGGGAGCCUGUCCUUGUGAUGGGUGACUGCGUACCUUUUGUAUAAUGGGUCAGCGACUUAGUGUCUGUAGCGAGCUUAACCGUCUAGGGGAGGCGUAGGGAAACCGAGUCUUAAUAGGGCGUUGAGUUGCAGGCACUAGACCCGAAACCGGGCGAUCUAUCCAUGGCCAGGGUGAAGGUUAGGUAACACUGACUGGAGGCCCGAACCCACGUAUGUUGAAAAAUGCGGGGAUGAGCUGUGGAUCGGAGUGAAAGGCUAAUCAAGCCCGGAGAUAGCUGGUUCUCCUCGAAAUCUAUUUAGGUAGAGCGUCGUGUCUCACCCUGGGGGGUAGAGCACUGUUUGGGCUAGGGGGUCAUCCCGACUUACCAACCCCAUGCAAACUCCGAAUACCCAGGAGUGCAAUCACGGCAGACAGACGGCGGGUGCUAACGUCCGUCGUCGAGAGGGCAACAACCCAGACCGCCAGCUAAGGUCCCUAAUACCAGUUAAGUGGGAAACGAUGUGGGAAGGCUAAGACAGCUAGGAGGUUGGCUUAGAAGCAGCCAUC
rnacentral:rRNA from 14 species